rnacentral:rRNA from 1 species
GAUGAACGCUGGCGGCGUGCCUAAUACAUGCAAGUCGAGCGAACGGACGCGAAGCUUGCUUCUCUGAUGUUAGCGGCGGACGGGUGAGUAACACGUGGAUAACCUACCUAUAAGACUGGGAUCACUUCGGGAAACCGGCGCUAAUACCGGAUGAUCUUUUGAACCGCAUGGUUCAAAAGUGAAAGACGGUCUUGCUGUCACUUAUAGAUGGAUCCGCGCUGCAUUAGCUAGUUGGGAAGGUAACGGCUUACCAAGGCAACGAUGCAUAGACGACCUGAGAGGGUGAUCGGCCACACUGGAACGGAGACACGGUCCAGACUACUACGGGAGGCAGCAGUAGGGAAUCUUCCGCAAUAGGCGAAAGCCUGACGGAGCAACGCCGCGUGAGUGAUGAAGGUCUUCGGAUCGUAAAACUCUGUUAUUAGGGAAGAACAUAUGUGUAAGUAACUGUGCACACCUUGACGGUACCUAAUCAGAAAGCCACGGCUAACUACGUG